rnacentral:rRNA from 1 species
UACGGAGGGGGCCAGCGUUAUUCGGAAUUAUUGGGCGUAAAGGGCGCGUAGGCGGCCAUGCGUGUCUUGCGUGAAAUCCCUCGGCUCAACCGAGGACGUGCGGAAGAAACUGCAAGGCUCGAGUCCGGAAGAGGGGGGCGGAAUUCCCAGUGUAGCGGUGAAAUGCGUAGAUAUUGGGAGGAACACCAGUGGCGAAGGCGGUCCCCUGGGCCGGAACUGACGCUGAGGCGCGAAAGCGUGGGGAGCAAACAGG